UGCCAGCCGCCGCGGUAAUACGGAGGGUGCGAGCGUUAAUCGGAAUUACUGGGCGUAAAGCGCACGCAGGCGGUUUGUUAAGCUAGAUGUGAAAGCCCCGGGCUCAACCUGGGAUGGUCAUUUAGGACUGGCAGACUAGAGUCUUGGAGAGGAUAGGGGAAUUUCCGGUGUAGCGGUGAAAUGCGUAGAUAUCGGAAGGAACACCAGUUGCGAAGGCGCCUAUCUGGCCAGAGACUGACACUGAGGUACGAAAGCGUGGGUAGCGAACAGGAUUAGAUA
rnacentral:rRNA from 1 species